GCUCGGAUAGCUCAGCGGUAGAGCGGCAGAUUGCAGAUCUGAUGGUCCCUGGUUCAAUCCCGGGUUCGAGCU
rnacentral:tRNA from 4 species